UACGUAGGUGGCAAGCGUUGUCCGGAUUUACUGGGCGUAAAGAGCGCGCAGGCGGUCGUUCAAGUCGCGUGUGAAAGCCCCCGGCUCAACUGGGGAGGGUCACGCGAUACUGAUCGACUCGAAGGCAGGAGAGGGAAGUGGAAUUCCCGGUGUAGUGGUGAAAUGCGUAGAUAUCGGGAGGAACACCAGUGGCGAAGGCGACUUCCUGGCCUGUUCUUGACGCUGAGGCGCGAAGGCGUGGGGAGCGAACGGG
rnacentral:rRNA from 1 species